rnacentral:rRNA from 1 species
UACAGAGGCCUCGAGCGUUAGGCGGAAUCACUGGGCUUAAAGCGUGUGUAGGCGGAUUGGUAAGUACCUUGUGAAAUCCCACAGCUUAACUGUGGAACUGCUCGGUAUACUGCUGAUCUUGAGCCACUCAGGGGCUACCGGAACAAAUGGUGGAGCGGUGAAAUGCGUAGAGAUCCGGAGGAACACCGAAGGCGAAGGCAGUGUCCUGGCGAGUAUCCUGACGCUGAGGUGCGAAAGCCAGGGGAGCGAACGGG